GAUCUUGGUCAGGAUGAACGCUGGCGGCGUGCCUAACACAUGCAAGUCGAACGAAACACGAAGAAGUGCUUGCACGGAUUGUGAUUGAGUGGCGGACGGGUGAGUAACGCGUGGGUAACCUGCCUCAUACUGGGGGAUAACAGUUGGAAACGACUGCUAAUACCGCAUAAGCCCACAGUACCGCAUGGUACAGGGGGAAAAGAUUUAUUGAUAUGAGAUGGACCCGCGUCUGAUUAGUUUGUUGGUGGGGUAACGGCCUACCAAGACUGCGAUCAGUAGCCGACCUGAGAGGGUGAUCGGCCACAUUGGGACUGAGACACGGCCCAAACUCCUACGGGAGGCAGCAGUGGGGAAUAUUGCACAAUGGGGGGAACCCUGAUGCAGCGAACCGCCGCGUGAGUGAAGAAGUAUUUCGGUAUGUAAAGCUCUAUCAGCAGGGAAGAUAAUGACGGUACCUGACUAAGAAGCACCGGCUAAAUACGUGCCAGCAGCAGC
rnacentral:rRNA from 1 species